ensembl:lncRNA
AGAGCGUCCAGACGAUAGGGCAUCACGAGGGAGGAGGUGGAGAGCGUCCAGACGAUAGGGCAUCACGAGGGAGGAGGUGGAGAGCGUCCAGACGAUAGGGCAUCACGAGGGAGGAGGUGAAGAGCGUCCAGACGAUAGGGCAUCACGAGGGAGGAGAGCGUCCAGACGAUAGGGCAUCACGAGGGAGGAGGUGGAGAGCGUCCAGACGAUAGGGCAUCACGAGGGAGGAGGUGAAGAGCGUCCAGACGAUAGGGCAUCACGAGGGAGGAGGCGGUGAAGAGCGUCCAGACGAUACUAAAACCAAGGCGUCCACGAGAGCGUAGGGAGUGAAGUGACGUCCGAACGAAAGCGCAUCCACGUGCGCGGAUAGAGUCAAGCCCCCUCUGUCCGUAAUUCUCUGCGCUAUAUAUCGCGUGUAAUCAGGAAUGGGCCAACCACCAAUCACUAACGCUAACCACGCAUGCUGAUCUGAUGAUUGACAAAAACAAAUUAGAUGUCCUUAUGACCACAAAUAAAAUACAGAAUCAUGUCAAAACAAAACAAAACAAUGUAGAAACAAAGUAUGAAUGUAGGUUCAUCACAGUGUGUGUGUGUGUGUGUGUGUGUGUGUGUGUGUGUGUGUGUGUGUGUGUGUGUGUGUGUGUGUGUGUGUGUGUGUGUGUGUGUGUGUGUGUGUGUGUGUGUGUGUGUGUGUGUGUGUGUCUGUGUCUGUGUCUGUGUCUGUGUGUGUGUGUGUGUGUGUGUGUGUGUGUGUGUGUGUCUGAUGUGUGUCUGAUGUGUGUACCAUGUAAUGCAUGAGUUGAGAAACAGCUUCAACGUUAUUAAUCUGUGCUAUAACUCAAACCGGUACUAACAGUCUGCGCAAGAAUAGAGCAAGUUAGAGCCACGUCAUUAAGGAGCUGGUAGCUGGUGGUAGCUUCAGGUAUCUGCAGGUAGCUGGUGGUAGCUGGUGGUAGCAGCAGGUAGCUUCAGGUAUCUGCAGGUAGCUGGUGGUAGCAGCAGGUAGCUUCAGGUAUCUGCAGGUAUCUGCAGGUAGCUGAUGGUAGCAGCAAGUAGCUGGUGGUAGCUGAUGGUAGCAGCAGGUAGCUUCAGGUAUCUGCAGGUAGCUUCAGUUAGCUGAUGGUAGCUUCGGGUAGCUGACGGUAGCUGAUGGUAGCAGCAGGUAGCUUCAGGUAUCUGCAGGUAGCUGAUGGUAGCUGAUGGUAGCUGACGGCAGCUUCAGUUAGCUGAUGGUAGCUUCAGGUAGCUUCAGGUAGAUGGAGGUAGCUUCAGGUAGCUUCAGGUAGACGGAGGUAGCUUCAGGUAGAUGGAGGUAGCUUCAGGUAGCUUCAGGUAGAUGGAGGUAGCUGCAGGUAGAUGGAGGUAGCUUCAGGUAGAUGGAGGUAGCUUCAGGUAGAUGGAGGUAGCUGCAGGGAGCAGCAGGUAGAUGGAGGUAGCUGCAGGGAGCAGCAG